UUAGGUCCGACCGGUCCCGAACCCGAUACGGGCGAAAGGUCGAUCGCUGUGCUUGCCUUCUUAUACUCGGAGACGGUUCGGCCUAGAACUAAUCCGUAGAGAUGAAGAAUAAUGCCGUGAAGAAGUUCGGAGGCGGAAGGCAGCCGACGGGCACACCGUCCCUCGCCUGGUCAUGCGUCGUCGUGGUCGUCUCCCUACUCGCUGGCGCUUCCGUGGUCCACAAUAUCUAUAAGCCCGACCUGACGCUGCCGCCGGUGGAGAACAAGGGCGGAGAAACCAACAAGGACCGCUGAGAAUGAUUCUUCGAACCAAGCGGGAGGAUGAAGAACUACUCAUGGAAAAUUUGCUCACUCUGCACUCGAACUUGCCAUCGCGGGGGCGCUUCUUUUCCCAAUUCUCGAGCAGAAUCUCCUUCACACAGGCCACAUGAAGGUGACAUUCCUUGCAUGUUGACACAUAGGACCAGCUUUUGGCACCCUUCCUCAACUCCUUCUUCCCACACCGGUAGCACUUGGAAGUCACCUCUCGGCGGAGAACCAGCUUCAUCUCACCAUCC